AGUUGGCUCAGGAUCUUUUACGGUUGGAUUUUCAUACUCAACUGCAACUUUCACCACGCUUCCAUCUCCCUUAGGUGUUACACUAACGUGUAACACAUAUUUUUUGUAGAUAUGGAAGACGUUCCCAUCAAUCCCAGCCACGUCCAAGAUUAAUGUCCUCUUUACAUCAUCAACAGCUUCAAUCUUCUCUCUAAUUGAUUUUGCAAAUGGCGAAUCUACAAUGUAAACCACCCAAGAACAGAUCAAAAUUGACACAGAUUGGGUAUAAUAUAAUAUAAUAUACGCAGCAUGUUUAAAAUAGUCAUGCAAAGAUGUAUAGAAAAUGAGGUGAGAGGAAUGAUCAUUAAAGUUUGUUUGGGAUUUAGAUUUUGGAGAGAAUGGAAGGAAAAGAGAAGGCUUGAGAGUCAUCUCACAAGUGUAUUUCAUGGCUCUCAAGCCUUCUUUUUCUAUUCUUUCCCCUCCAGAAUCCAAUUCCCUAACCCUAAAUCGUUCAAACUAUGGAGACGUGAAGUGGUAUAUAUAUAUAUAUAUAUAUGAAUGAAUGAAGCAAGAAAAGGUUUUACCUUCACUAAUUGAUACACGAAAGACAGAACCAACAGCCUUUCCAUCACCCUCGACAACCUCAACGGCUUUGUAAACACUGGGGAAGGCUUCAGGAAAAAAUGUGUACCAGUUCCUAAGAGCUCCCCAAAACUUGUCUGCACUAGACUUGGCCUCAAAACCUCCCUCAAGCUUUCCACGGAUAGGCAUGGCUCACCAACUACGAAGAAUUGAAAAUGAAGAUAUACUAAAGAUUGGAUGUGUUGUGAGAACAUAGGGUAAUGAUAAGUAUAUAUAUAGAGCUAGCACUUUCAAGAAUGCCAAAGGCAAUAAAUUCAUUAGUGAUUAGCUCAACUGCCACUUUAACAAGUGGAAACUAACUUAUUACAAUCAUUCACUUGUUAUCAAUUGAAUUAAGCAAUUCCAGUCAUACGCAUUUUAAGUCGAUUUAACAUCUAAUUAGACCUAGUUAUAGUUUAUUUUAGGGAAAUAGGUGGUCAUUAUACAUGCACAAAAAUGAUCCAACAAUUUAUAACAAUACAUCUGGUAGGAAUCGAAAGGCAGACCAGCCCCUCAGGUCUUAUAUAUAAAUCUACAUAAAUUAUACCCUAGAUCUUAGUAGAAAAGACAUUUAUUAAAAAGGAUAUUCACAUAUCAAAGGCUUCAUUCGGAGUGAAAUUAUUGUUGGGUUGCAAAAAUUGGAGAUAAAUAUUAUCUUUCACUUUAAAGGUUUAUGGUAUAUGGGGGCAAUUGAGACAACAAAUAAUUUUUUCAUUUUAUACACAGCUCCAUUUUAAUUAUAUGUCACAUAGAGAGAUGUGAAAUAAUCACAAUCUCAAGCCUUUGUCGAUGAGACUUAGGACCCAAUCUCGAAUCAAAAGUUCAAAAGUCAAGCUAUUUAUGAAAGUUGUCUCUCAAUCUAUGGUGAUUUCCGCACGAGCUAGUUGAGGGUCAUGUUAAGGGAUCUAACAAACUGCUGGAUGGCCUAGAGUAUGUCCUUCACAACUUAGCUUGUGCCUUUCUAUAUGUUUGAUCAGAGGGAUUAUUAAAAGUAAAUAAUCCUUGUGGGGUGAGAUUGGUGAGUACACAUUUAGGCAUGAAUGAAGAUAUAUUGUCCUCAUUUGUGGUCUUGAGCUGAUUAAAAUAUGUCAUUUAAUUAAAAUAAAAAUUAUAAAAAUAUAAAUUCAUAUUUUUAUAUUAUUUAGUGUAAUUUUGUUGGAUAGAAAUAUAGAGAUUUGAUUUUCUCUUAAAAGAAAAUCCAUGUUGAUAAGAAUAAGAAAACAUUUAAAAGGCAAAUUAAACUAAUAUAGUUUUACUCAAAUCACACACAUUUUGUCCUAAUUUUUUUCCUCCAUCUAUAUACACCUUCCUUAGUUGAUAUGUUUUUUUUAUUUAAGUAAAUAACAUAUUUAAUUAAAAAAAAUACACAGGUACAUUAAUUUACAUGAAUUCCUUAGUUGCUUUGUAGUGAUUACAUUAGAUACUUUUCACACAAUAUGCUCUUGUAGGUGACCAACAUAAGUAAAUAUAACAAUUACCAAUCUCUAAUAGAGAUAAAUAUUUUUUCCCACCUGCCCAUAUAAAUGAUAAAAAUCACUAACUGUUACACUUAAUGCAUCUAAAAGUUUGGUCACGGUCCAAUCAAUUUAUUCCUCAUAUUUAUAUUGGGUCUAUAAUGAAAUUUUAAUUUGCCUUUUGCAUUUGCUACCACGAAUAGUAUUUAUUACAUAUUAAAUACCUUAAUUUAUGUGGUCCGUGUUUAAUUUUCAACAAAUUUCAAGUCCUUGAUUGUCAAUUAGACAUAAACAAGUAAGCAUGUUAAUAAGGGCUAUAUGUAUGUUAUUGUUUCACACAAAAAAGGAUUAAGUUAUAAUGAAUUCACUAUCUGUUUAGCGCGUCCAAUUGAAAUUUUAGUGUGAAAUUUAUUCUAAUUCUAAUAGAAUUGGGAUUGACAUGGAAUUGAGAUUCUAUUUUUGGAUUUUAUAAAGAAUUAUAAUAUUAAUCUUAUAAUUUCAAGUUCAUUUACAAUUCCAUUGUUUGGCCGUGAGAUCUAGGAGUCGGGGAAAAUCGUAUUUUAAAGUUAAAAAUAGUUUUUUAUUAUAAAACUAAUAUACACAUAUAUAAUUUAGUUUAAAAAAUAUUUUACUUCAGAACAAAUAUGCAGAAAAUUUUAGAACUGCAGAAAAUUCAGAACAAAUAUGCAGAAAAUUUUGGAUCUCCACACUGUCACAGCCGCUUGAGAGUCGCCAUUGAUUGUGUGUGACCAUCACUAUCGUUUUUGUGCCUGUUGUUGACACUAUGCUGGUUUUUUCGUUGAAACCCAUAAUCGUUUUAUGAUUGAGAAUGGGUAAGAAAAAAUAAAGGAAAAAAUAAUGAGGAUUGGAGACAAAACAUUAGGGUAUAAAGGUGGAGAAGAGAUAAAGUUAAAGGAUAUAUAACAAUAAGAACAUGAGUGGGAAAAAACGCAUUACGUUUUCAUUUUACGUCGUUCAACUAUAGGAUUUCCAAAGUUUGGAAUUUUAAUAAAAAUGAUAAAGGUUAGAAUUUAGGUUUGGGUAAAAUUAGUUAUAAUGUAACUGUAUAGAAUCGAUCCAUGGAAUAUUGUUUUCAAUUAAGUGUACCACCAAACAUUAGUUAAAAUACAAGGCCAAUCCUCAAUUCCAUGAUCAAUUCAUUUGCCAAAUGUAUUUUUAUGGGAUUCAAAAGAGUAUUUUUGUCUAAAAACUAGUAAGUAUGGAAUUCCCUAGUCUCUUAUCUUUAUUUAAAAUUUCAGAUUUUAUAUUCAUCCUAAGAUCUCCAUCCAUAACUUUUAGUGGGUCCAUCUCCAGUUCAAACUUAACUACAGUAAAUCCAUUUUAAACGCACAAAUGUAUCUGUUAUCAUUUUACUAAAUUAAGUUUAUUUCUGACAAAAUUACUUUAAAUCAAUCCUGUAUUUUUUUUCUUCAUGUUGUUUUUGGUUUAGAUGUGGUAUAAUAAGUUAGAUUAAUAAGUUAAAUUAUUACUUAUUAUCAUGGAUAUAUAAUUUGGCAUAUAAAAUUAUAUAUCUAUAUAUAUUGUUAAUCAUAUAUAUAUCAUAAAAAAAUUAGAGAAUCAAUUAUGUUUUCGACCAAUGAGGGUUCAUUACUUUCUAUACAAUUAAACAGAGAUACACAAACAUGAUGAGUAGCUGACUAUGGGUCAGACUGGGUCAUAAGUCCCUUAUUCGAUCCUAAAUAUUGACUAAGUCCAAUUUUUGAACUCGAGUUCAAUCUUAAACCUAAUGAGACUCAACUAUAUUCGAACCAUAUCAUCACUGAGUCAAACCACAUAAAUAAGUAAGAUUGAAUCAUUCCCACCCUAAUUAUGACAAUGCUUUAUACCACUUCCAUCAUAACAUUGUGAAGAAAUGGUCCACUUGCGUCAUUAAUCAUUAUCAUACACGCGUGGAACGUAAAAAAUAAAUAAAAAAUAACAAGAUACAUUUUUAAAUUAGUUAUAAAAGUUUAAAUAAUUUUAAAUCAGUCUUUUACUUAAACAACGGUAUUAUUUUCUUCAUUAAUUUCUCAGAGAAAACUUCAGCCAUAUUUAUGAUCUAGGAUACUCCAUCACCAGAUUUAUUGUUUAUUCCUUUCAGGCAAAAGGAGAACCAAAAAAACACAUUUUCAACAACACCCAUAUUUCCUUCCCGAUAAAAAAAAUAAACUAUGAACUCUGAACCAUCUUCAUCCUACCAUUUUCCCAUCUAUUUCUUUAGAGAACGGAUUUAUCAUGGAUGAUCCCCGAAUUUAAAUUUCAAUCUUGUGAGGAAUACUCUUUAUUUUAUAGAAAAAAUGUAUAAACUUCUCAAACCAAAUUAAAUAUAUUUUUGUAUAACCAGCUCACUAAUAAAGCAAGUGAGAAUGUUUUUACAGGAGUAUGUAUAUAUAUGUGGCUAUUGAAUUAUUUGAAUCCAACGUUUUUAACGGCAUAGAAUGAGUCCAACGUGGAUACAUUUAUUUGGGAUGAUUAAAUAUAAAUGAGGAGGCAAAAGACUAAUUUCUUAAGUAAAAAAACUUAAUGAUUUAAGUAUCACAUUAACUUACUUAUCUAGCUUACCCAAUAUAUGAGAUUCGAACAUAUUCAGUAAUACACCUUUCACGGCACAGCUCUUAGUAAAAGUAUCACCAUACAUGGGAAGAGAUCAAUUUUAUAAAAUAGAAGAACUUGUAACUUCAGUGUCAUAUUAAGUUUGUUAUGUUAUUCUACAUGGCAUUCCUGGUGGACAAAUUCUUACUGGAUCAUAAUGCAGGGAGUCAAUAAGUGAGUUAUUUGAAAGUAACCACUAUUACAAUGUAAGCUCAAAGUUAUACUUCAUUAAAUUCUCACUAGAUCCGAAUUAUGGAAUGAGUAUUCGGAGUAAUAUUUAUGUUACAUUAGUGUAAAUUUUUUUAUAUUUUCAAAACAUCAUUAAUCAUUUAUAAGUAUUUCUUUUCUUAUAGUCAAUAACUAUUAAUACAUGAAUGAUAGAGAAUAUAUUGAUAAUAUAAGAAAAUUCUUCCGCUGUCAAUACACAUUAUUUUCUCAAAGUUAUUUACUUCUUAGACAAAUACAAAACCAUAAUAUAUAGGAGUUCACAUUGAUCAACUUUUUCUUUUGCACUAACGGUGUUUUCUAACCGACGACUAGAGAUUAAUUAUUUUCAAGAUGGAAAGAUUACUUAAAAUGAGUUUUGUUUUAUGAACUAUGUUGGACCUUGUGGAUAGACAUUUAUUACUUUGGCAAUGAUAUGCUCUCUUAACAAAUGACCUACAUGUUUUUUUAACUUAUGAGGAUGAAACAUGUCUUUAAAAAAUGGAUUACGGAUGAAAAAAGUAUCAUUUUAUAGCAUAUAUCACAUUGUGAGAAAUAAUUAUUCUUAUCAUUUUAAGUGGGUAUAUAGCACCACAUUAUUUAAAAUUCAUACACUAGGACACAUGCCCUUGAAUGUCAUGGAAACUAUUUGUUUUGAAGAUAGCUAUCGAAAUCUUGUAAGCCCUGGAUUUCUACAUCUAGGAUACCAAUUGGCUCAGGAUCUUUUUCUCUUGGAUUUUCAUAUUCAACUUUGAUUUUCACUUCGCUUCUAUCUCCCUUAGGUGUUACACUAACAUGUAACAUAUAUUUUUUGUUUAAAUUGAAGAUGUUCCCAUCAAUCCCAGCGACAUCGAAGGUUAUUGUCCUCUUUGCAUCAUCAACAGCCUCAAUCGUCUCUGUAAAUGAUUUUGCAUAUGGCGAAUCUACAAUGUAAACCACCGAAGAACGUAUCAAAAUUGACACAUGGGUAAUGUUCAUAUAGGAUCAAAAAAGUUUAACACUUCCACCAAUCAUGGUUGGUUAUAAUAUACCUAACAUUUUCAAAAUAGACAUGUAAAGGAGAUGCAUAGAAAAUGAGUUGAGUGGAAUUAUUAAACUUGUUAGGAAGUCUCAUAUUUUCUGUUUUAUUAUCUUAGGUAUGAUUUUAAAUAUCUAAGUAUUCAUUGAACUACUUAUCUUAUUAUCAAUUAACUUUUAGAUAAGAUCUUAAUAUGAUAUUACACCUAGAGUUCAACUUUUCUUUAAUUAUCAUGGGCUAAAAAAUAUUUUGCUUGGUUCGACAAAUUUACUAUAUAGAUGAGAUAUAUUAAAAAAUAAAUUUCACAUUGUUUAUCUCAUUCUCUUUAAGAUGAUAUAUUUAAAUAGCUAUUACAUUAUUCAUGAUAAUAAAAAACUUGCUAGCAUAGAAAAUAAAAAAGCUUUUACCUCCAGUAAUUGAUACACGAAAGACAGAACCAACAGCUUUGCCAUCACCCUCAACAAUAUCAACGGCUUUGUAAGCAUCCGGGAAGGCUUUAGGGAAAAUUGUGUCCCAGUCCCUAAGAGCUCCCCACAACUUGUCUGCACUAGACUUGGCCUCAAAACCUCCCUCAAGCUUUCCACGGAUAGGCAUGGCUCACCAACUACAACGAAUUCAAAAUGGAGAUACACUAAAGAUUGGAUAUGUGUUGUGAGAACAUAGGAUAAUCAUCAAGUAUAUAUAUAGAGCUAGCACUUUCAAGAAUUAUUAGUGAUUAGUUCAACCACCACUUUAAGAAGUGGAAACUAACUUAAUUUUCAUUAACUUAUUACAAUCAUUCACUUUUUUUAUAAGUAAAAGUUCAUUCAUUUUUAAGGAAAAUAACAAUUACCCUACCCUGUUAUUAAGAAAUAAUUCCCAUUCGGGAAUUCCGUAUCAUCUAAAUUCACCUAUAAUACUAUUGCAUAUUGGGUUGGUAUUACAACCAUUCACUUGUUAUCAAGAAGCAAUUCCGGCCAUACGCAUUUUUAGUGAAUUUAACAUCUAAUUAGACCUAUUUACAGUUUAUUUUAGGGAAACAAAUGGUCGUUAUACAUGCAGAAAAAUGAUCCAACUGUUUAUAAUGAUACAUUCGGUAGGAAGCAAAAGACUAGUGCACCACCCCCUCACGUUUUAGAUAUAAAUCUAUAUGAAUUAUACCCCUUGGCCUUGGCGGAAUAGAGUUAAUAAUUAGGAGCUCUACAUAUCAUAGAUAAGAGAAAUAAAAUUAUUAUAUGCAUUUUAUACAAGCUAAUGAAUUUGACUUCCAAUUUUAGAAUGAGAAUGCAAACCCCUUGAUUUUAGCUUUCAACCAUGAAUUGAGAUUUAUAUGUACUUAAUCAAAUUAAGGUUACCAACAAAAACUUGGUUAGUUCAUUGAAUCUUGUAUAAGGACAAAAUCCAACAUUUAAUUCAAAUGACAUUUGUUAAAAAGGAUAGGCAAUCACAUAUUAGAAAAUGGGUUAAUUCCUUAAUAUUCUUGGGUUAAAAAAUCAAAGAUAAGUAUUGUAUUUCACUUUAGAGAAGGUUUAUGGUAUAUGGGGCAAUUGAGACAGCAAAUAUUUUCCCUUUUAUACACAGCUCCAUUUUAAUUAUAUGUCACAUAGAGAGAUGUGAAAUAUUCACAAUCUCAAGUCUUUGUCUAAGAGACUUGCGACCCAAUCUCAAAUCAAAUGUUCAAAAGUCAAGUUGUUUAUUAGAAUUGUCUAUAUAAAUGACUUUUUUAUAUAAUUAAGAGUAUCUAUUCACCUUAUAUGUAAGAAAUUAAUAUUUUUAAGAUGUGUUGUUGUUUUUCUUAACAAAUUACGUUCUUAAAAAUCGAAUAUUUGAUCUAAUUAUAAACUCAGUACAAUAAAAUUUUAUAUCAUUAAACCAGUAUAUUGUUAUUAUGUAUGGGAACUACUUUGUGAUAUAAAGUGUCCAACAAACUGCUUGAUUGCAUAGUGUAUGUCCUUGACUAAGUUUGUGCCUUCUAUAGGUUUGUUCAAAGGGAUUAUUAAAAGGAAAUAAUCCUUGUGAUCUGAGAUUGUUGAGUACAAAUUUAGGUAUGAAUAGGAAAAUAUUUAAAGGGUAAAUUACACUGGUCUCUAAGUUUUACUCGAAUUAUACAUAUGUUUCCCUCAUUUUUUUCCUCCAUCCAAACACAACUUCCUUAAUUGAUAUGUAUAGUCAUUACUUUUAACAAAAAAAUUAAAAUUACACAAUAUGCGCUUAUAGGUGACGUACAAAAUGUAAAGAUAACAAUUACCAAUCUCUAAUAGAGAUAAAUAUUUUUCCCCACCUGCCCAUAUGAAUGACAUAAAUCACUAACCAUUAUAUUUAAUGCAUCUGAAAGUUUGGUCCCUGUCCAAUCAAUUUAUUUGUCAUAUUUUCAUUGGGGAUAUAAUGAGCUCUAAAUUUGCUUGUUGCAUUUGCUACAAUUAAUAAAGUUUAUUGAAGAUUAAAUAACUUAAUUCCUGUUGAGUCAUAAGGUAGUUAAAUUGAAUACUUUUUGGGGAAAAAAUGAUAAGAUGGUUAACUAUUCCACUUCAACGCCUACUACAAAUAUUAAUAAUAUUAGUGUGAAAUUAGGAUUGACAGGGAAUUGUCACUCUAUUUUUAGAUUUUACAAAGAAUUAUAAUUUCAAGUUCAUUUCCAAUUCCUUUGUUUGGCUAUGAGAUACAGGGCUCGAGGAAUAUUGUAUUUUAAAGUUAAAAAAUAGUUUAUUAUUUUCAAAACCAUAUACAUAUAUAAUUUAUUUAUAAAAUUUAUUUCACUUAAAAAUGAUAUUGUAGUCGAAAAAAGUUAUAUUGAGAUACUUCCGUUCAUAUAUUUCUUAUGAUUAAAAAAAUUAAUUAAAUAUCUUUAAAAACUUAAUUAAAUUCGAACUAGAAAGAAGAACUGAAUGAAAUUCAGAACACUUAUGCAAAAAAUUUGAUCGAGAAUUGAGUAAAAUUCAGAACAGUAAUGAAGAAAAAGUUUAGAUCUCCGCAUUGCCACAACUGCUUGAGCGUCACCGUCCAAAGGGUAUGGUGGUUUUCAACAUUGACACUAUGCGGACAAGGAUUUGAUGCCUCAACCCUGUCCAUCUCAAUUAAAAAAAAAUUAUUUGUAAUUUUAUCAAUUUUACUUUAUUAUAAUUGGUUGGAAACAGGAUUGGAUUUAAGGUAAAAUGAUGAGGGUUGAAGACAAAACGUUAGCGUAUAAAGGUAGAGAAGAGAGAGAGAAGAAGGAUAACAAUAAUGAGUGGGAAAAAAGCAUUGCAUUUUCAUUUUACGUCGUUCAGCUAGCUAUGGGAUUUUUAAAGUUUCAAAUUUUAAUAAAAAGGAUAGGGAAUAUAAUUUAGGUUUGGAUAAAAUUAGUUAGAAUGUAAUUGAACGGAAUUGAUCCAUGGACUAUUGAUUUCAAUUAAGUGUACAACCAAACAUUAGAGUUAAAAUCAAGGCCAAGCCUUAAUUCCAUUAUCAAUUCAUUUGCCAAAAUUAUUUUUAAGGAAUUUGACUUCAAUAAAUAUGUUAAAUAUAGAAUAAUAAAUUAAAGUGUACUUUGUCUAAAAACUAGUAAGUAUGGAAUUCCCUAGCCUCUUAUCUUUAUUUAAAAUUUUCAGAUUUCAAAUUUACCUUGAGUUCUCCAUCCAUAACCUUAAAUGGAUUCAUCUCGAGUUCAAACUCAACUACAAUACACCAUUUUGAACGCACAAAUGUAUUUUUUUUUAAACAGACGCACAAAUGUAUUUGUCCUCAUUUCCCUAAAUUAAGUUUAUUAUUGAUAAAAUUACUAAAUCAAUCAUGUUUAUUAUUUUCUAUUUUCAUGUUUUUUUGUUAUACAAUCCGUCUUAUAUAUUUUUUAGUAUAAUAUUUAUACAUUUUUAGUGUAUAAAUUUAUGCAUAAUUAUACAUUAUUUAUCAUUCAAUUUUUUUGAAUAAUUAAUAGGUUUGGACUUAACUCAAUUAUUUUCAAAGAUGUUGAAAGUCACUUAUCUUUACAUGAUAAUAUGUUAUGGAUGGAGAACAAGCACAAACAACAAUAAAUGUGUUUUUAGUUGUUGUUAUUUGGACAAUUUAGUUUGAUAUGAACAAAUCAUUUUCAAGAACUCUCGGUUUCAUGUUAAUAAGGUAAUGAAUUUAAUUUUCUUGUAUUCCUAAAACUUUCUCAUUGAUGGUUAUUCUAGUUUUAACUUUUUUUGUGUGGAAUGGACCUAGUUUAAUUAUAUAUUUGGAUGUAUAUUCUUCUUAAUAAAUUUCAUUGCUGAAUAAAAAUAUGGUGAUUAAAUAUAAUUCAAUAAAUUUCCAUCAACAACUAGAGCUCAACAUCACUCAACCAUCAACAUAUUUCUGUCACGGUGAAAUUAAUACUUGGUUCCCAGUUAUAUACAAUGAAAGAUAUACACUAAAAUAUACAAUAAGUUUCUUUUGGUCAAUAAAAAGGGGUUGAUCCGUCUCUAUAUUUAUGCAUUCUUUUAAAUUAUAUAGUUACUUUAUUUACUUAUAAGCUUGUUUAUAAUAUCGAGGCACUUUCUAUUUAGGGAUUUACAAACAUGAAACCCAUUUUGGCAAAUUGAAGAUCAAACACCAAGACCUACAAAAAGGCUGCAUGGAUCACCUGUUUUCACACUCAAGGAGAUCGACGAGGCAAUAUGUUCCUUCAUUGAUGAAAUCAACAUUAUACAUGAUAUAUUAUUGUUUUAUAUAUUAAAGUAGGGAAUGAUACCACCACCACAUUAUUUAAUAAUGCAUGCACUAAAGUACUAACCCUUCAAUGCCAUAGAACCUCUCUAUGCCUUUUGAAUAUAGGCAUCCAAUUUAAGGAAGGUAUCAACUAAAUAAUCUUUGAUGCUAAUAGGAUCAGGAACUUCUUGAGAAGCUUUUUCAUACUCAGCAAUCCAUUUCACCUCACUUCCAUUUCCCUUAGGUGUUACACUAAUGUGUCCCUUGUAAUUUUUAUAGUCUUGGAGGAUAUCAGCAUCAAUUACAGCAUAGGUAAGUGUCCUCUUUUCAUCAUCAACAGCCUCAAUCUUCUCUGUGGCUGAUUUUAAUGAACCUGAGGAUAGGGUUUUGAUCAAAAUAAAGUUCACCAAAAAACUAAGAACUAAUUAAAUUUCUUAUUCCAUAACUGAUUUUGAUAUGUUUUUGUAAUGCUAAAAGCAAAACUGAAUAAGCCAAAAAAAAUGAGGUUGUAGCAUGAUUUAGAAAAGGUGAGAGAGUUCAAAACUUAUAAUAUCAAUGUUUGACUAACUAAAAUAUAGAAGGUACCCUUUAAGUUGUGUAUGUGAUCACUGAUCGUGGUGACUGAAACCAUGAUUAUGAAAAAUAGUUAGGUAAGUAUUCACCUACCUUUAUGGGAUGAAAUAUUUUAC
rnacentral:lncRNA from 1 species